rnacentral:rRNA from 2 species
AACCGGAGCUAAUACCGGAUAGUUCCUUGAACCGCAUGGUUCAAGGAUGAAAGACGGUUUCGGCUGUCACUUACAGAUGGACCCGCGGCGCAUUAGCUAGUUGGUGAGGUAACGGCUCACCAAGGCGACGAUGCGUAGCCGACCUGAGAGGGUGAUCGGCCACACUGGGACUGAGACACGGCCCAGACUCCUACGGGAGGCAGCAGUAGGGAAUCUUCCGCAAUGGACGAAAGUCUGACGGAGCAACGCCGCGUGAGUGAUGAAGGUUUUCGGAUCGUAAAGCUCUGUUGUUAGGGAAGAACAAGUGCAAGAGUAACUGCUUGCACCUUGACGGUACCUAACCAGAAAGCCACGGCUAACUACGUGCCAGCAGCCGCGGUAAUACGUAGGUGGCAAGCGUUGUCCGGAAUUAUUGGGCGUAAAGGGCUCGCAGGCGGUUUCUUAAGUCUGAUGUGAAAGCCCCCGGCUCACCGGGGAGGGUCAUUGGAAAACUGGGAAACUUGAGUGCAGAAGAGGAGAGUGGAAUUCCACGUGUAGCGGUGAAAUGCGUAGAGAUGUGGAGGAACACCAGUGGCGAAGGCGACUCUCUGGUCUGUAACUGACGCUUGAGG